rnacentral:lncRNA from 1 species
GCUUUGUAGCUCAUAAAAAGUAAUAUGAUCUGAACUGAGUUAUAUGAUUUGUUGGACCACUAUCUCACACAAUGAACACACAGUUAUCGUUAAUUUUCAUUUUCAGUAACAUUCUGAUGAAACCACCAAAGCGCUCAGUCUUGGAGGAAUCUGUAAACCGUUUCAACAUGGCACAUCCUGAUGACUCCCUCUACCUCCCCAGCAUGUCUCAAUUAGUUCACACCAGUAAUGAACACUAUAUCAAAACGCUGAAAGAACACCACAAUUAUCGGGCCACCACAAUGGUGCACAAAUUAGUGGACCUUUCCCACUUUUUUAACUGGGUGAAGGAGGCAGGCCCCGAUGGGCUGCGAGUGUCCAAGAAAGCCGUUAAACGGGCUCUUCUUAUAAUAAAAAUGUGCUCAAAAGAGGAGCUGAAAAACAGGCAGGCCUGGCAGCAGGAGGUCCACUUAUCGAAAUCUGGUGAGAUCUUUAGCAGAUAGCCAAACCCACUGUCCUGGAGUGAAGAUGGGUCCUGCUGCCCUUCGACAGUGAUCAGCCUGUUCCUCUAAUCUGUGGACUGCUCGUUGAAGGUCUCCUCACUUCUAUACCGUGGCCGGGAAGUGCAAGACAACAUUACAAAGUGUGAAACACUUUUACAAAGCUCGAGACAAAAUUUACAUUUUGGAAAACAUUUUUACCAAUCAUUAAUCACAAUUACAUGGGGAAAGCACUUUUACCAAGGACGAAACAAAUUUACAUUUUAGAAAACAAAUUAACAAGACACAAAACAAUUUUACCAGUCCCGAAACAAAUUUACAAUGACAGAUUCUUCACGGAAAGGGAAUGUACAGAUCUGAAGUGACGCGGUGAAAGGUGUUGUUGUUUUUGGUGAGUGCGUUAAAUUCGUGUUGUGGAGUAAAUGACUUAAAUAAAGUUUAUGGUGACCGAGAUGGCCAUGCCAUUUUUGUGAGUGUUGUAGUAGUCAUUGUUUUGUUUGCAUUUGUCUGUUUAUAUAUAUAUAGUCGUACACUUAUUCAUAAUUAUCUUACUUCACAGGUAAAAAAGCACAAAACAUGUGCAACAUUCGGUCAUGUGAUACUCUCCAUCACAAAGGGGGAGUAUAAUUGCAUGGCUGAAUUUCUAAAAAUCCGUGGAAGCUUUGAGGGGAGCCAGUCAGCCCUCUUCUUUUUCAAUUCGAAGGGUGAGGUGUUCAAGGGCCUCCUCAAAGCUUUCACUGCUGCAUGGGAGUUUGUGGGCCUCCCAAAACCGGCCCCAACUUUCAUGGCCUUGAGGAACUCUAUGUCCACUCAGGUAAGUGUACAUUUUGAUACACACACACGCACACACUGUCUCACUGUCAUACAUUCUCUCAAACACUUUCUCACACACUCAUGCAUGUUUCUGUGAAUUGUGGGGACUUUCCAUAGUCUUCUGUUGUUUUGAUACUGACCAAACAACAUUUUUAUCCUCUAACCCAAUCCUUACAGAAAACCUGUUUGCAUUGUUACAUUUUCAGAUAAACAUCAAAUAAUAUUUUAUUUUAAUUUUUCCCUCAUGGGACUAAAGGCUGGACCCCACACAAUUUCAAAAGUUUCAGGUUUUAUUAUACUUAAGGAGACAAUGUGUUCAUCUUAAUGUGGUAUAAACAAGUGUGUGCAACACAUGCUUUGUCCUUCUCUCUCUCCCCCUCACACACACACUUUCUCUUUCUCUCUGUCGCUUUUAACUCACACACACGUUUAGGUGCUUUUUUGGCAUUACAAAUAUUUGUACAUGCGCAUUUAUUUGCAUAAAGUAGAAGUUAAUAAAAGUAAUAC